ACAUUAGAAGCUCUGCAGAGGCAGAUAUUCAGAGCUUGUUCAUCCCCGUACCCCAAUGCCCAGGAACAGUGCCUGACACGUCCUAAGCACAUGAUAAAUAUCUGUUGAAUUAAAUCGAAUGUUAGGUGAAUGCUGAAGAACGAAGUUGGAUCUGCUAUUGUCCUCGCAUUCUCAUGGAUCUAAAGGCACCAGGGGCGUGAUGAGAGCUUAGCUGAAAGGAGAGAAGACUCAGCAAGCACAUCACCUUGAAGCUGACCUGUCAGCCAGAUUUCGCAGCACCUGCCUGUUCCAGCCUGAGGGGCUGCGAUUCAUUCCUUGGGAAAGAGAGCUGCAAAUUCCCGCUCUAGGCCACAGUCCAAAUCCUUGCUCUUCUCUCUCAGGUUCUGGAAGACAGAAUGGAGGCAUCUACAGAGCAAGGACAUGUUUUCUACCUGAAUUAGCUUUUCUGACACCUUCAAACCAUCUCUAAGAAAUUGAUUUUUUAACAUACACAUAUACAGGUAAACAUUUAAAUCUGUGCCAUAAUGUAUUUGCACUUCGAGUCCCCCUGAAGUCCUAAGUCACAUGCUUCUCUUCCUAGGGGUUCUGUCUGAAGCAGAGACCCCUGGAUUGGAGCAGUGGGAAGAAUCCUGAUGAAUCAGGUGUUCCUGCCUGUUUACAUUAACUGGGCACCCUGCCUGCCCACCCCACAUGCUGAAUACUGCUGGGGAGAAGAGAAGAAACAUUUAUUAAAGGCAAGGAAAAAUUAGAGCCUUUUCAUUGAGGUCAGAAGAUUUUUGAGGUUGGAUCGGCUGGCCAGGUGCAUGACCAAUUUUCUUGGCUCCUUAGAAGCAGCAAAGUAUUUGAAAAAUAAUGGAGCCCUUCGUCCUACAAGUAAAAGCCCAUUUAUAUUGGGAAUUUUUUAAAAAGUGCUGGCGAUGGAAAAUUUCCGAUGAGAUGCAUUUCUUCCUGCCUGAAUGUCUUGAAUGCCUGCUGGAUUUGUCUCCCUGCUAAGACACUCACACUUGCAAAUCUGUGCUUUUCAAGGUGGGGAGAUGAAAAUAAAAAGUCUGUGAGAUGUAUUUCUGGGAGGCCUGAAAACAGGAAGCAAAUUGGAACCACAGCAUGUGGGGCACGGAUGCUGGAUUCUGGGGGAUAUUUGCUUAUUUGGAAAGGCUGCAAACAUUCCAUCCUACCCACUGCUAGGAGCUCUGCACUUUGCUAACGUCCCAUGGAAACCAAGGUUCUCUUUAGGACUCGACAGGACUGGGUUAUUUUUCUCAGCUUAAAUUGUUUUUAUAUGGUUAUCCUCAGUACUCUUUUCUGUUUUGGGAUAUUUUCAUACUUUUUAUUUUUUAAAAACCCCAGAAUAUCUUGAUUUUGAAAAGGUACAUUCACCCAAAUAAAGUGCCCAGCGCAUAGACAAGGCUGCCUCAAUAUUUCACGUGUCAACAGCCAAUGCCCCCAGUACGUGCAGAAAAGCCUGAGAACAAGGAAGGAAGAAAAGGGUCUGGUCCUUGCUCUGCGGGUAUUUAAGCAUUUCUCAGCCCCCUCCUCUGACUUCUCAACUAUGUUCACCUAUAUGGCCUCGAAUGGAGAGAACUGGGGUUAUAAAAGAGGAUAUUAGCUAUGCCUGCUAUAGAAUGAGGAAGGCAUUUCAGGAUGUGCUUGGGGAGGAGAUGGAAUGAAUGGCAAAGGGGAUGUUUGUCCGUGAGGGUGGUCUGUGAUCUGUGGGUGGGGGAUGUCUGUGCAGCUCCCUUCAUGGCCUCUCAUGGCCCACACAGUAGGCAGUGUUUGCCACACACAGACCCUGGACAAAGUCACAGAGUGGUGUUGGUACCAUUUCAUAGGAGGGGUCCUAGGGGACAUUCUAGGAAGUUCUUCAUCAGCUUAGGACGGUGCAGCCUCUGCAGUCAUUAAACACAGUCUACCAGCCAGAGAAGCCCAAAAGCUGCUGCUCCUGCUGUUCUGCGUGGUGUGGGAAACUACGGCAUUGGCACAACUUUGGGAGCUCUCUUUGAUCUCUUGUUUGUCUGCAUUUCCCAUACUCUUCCAGUCACCAAGUGUCAUCAUUCUUCCCCAGGUUGUCUCUGUCUCCCUUCCUUUUCUGUCCCCAUGACUCUUACCUGUAUCCAAAACUAUGGCGUUUAAGGUGAAAGAGCCAGUCUGUAGGAGCUGCUUCGAGGAAAGUCUUGCAAGACUGCCUUCUUGAACUUGGUGCUCAAACUCCCCUCUGGCUUCACAACCUGCAUAGUUGCCUGGGUCAGAAACAGGUUCCUCAGGCAACUUGGUGUUGCAUUAACCAAGUGACACUGAUUGUCACUUGGAAGACACUCAGUGACUGACUAUUAGAGAUCAUCUGCCUCUCAUUUUGGGGAUGUGAAGGUUGAGACUCAGAGAGGUCAGGCAACAUGUCUGAGGUCACUGAGCCAACUAGCAGCAGCCCCAGAGUUGUCACCCAGAUUUCCCGACUCCCUAUUCAUUCCCCAAAACCUACCCAUGGGGAAUGUUCUGCCAGGCUGUUCUACAUCACCAGUAGAGAGAAGUUGCCUUGAGUAUUCGGUUUGGUUUUGAAGUUAACCUAUUCAGACACACUUGAGCAUGCAGUGAGUCACUGACUGGAUUCAUUCCCAGACCUAUGGACUCAGCGCAUCAGCUCACCAAGCCUCCUGCAUACUCUGCUUCUACGCUGGACAACUGUGCAUUUUGAGAAGCUGGAGGAAAUUGUUUGGCAUAGUGUUCUAGGCCAGCAGUCAUGCGAUACUGAGCUAGGCCUGGCUCCUAUAGGCUGGUGAAAGCCAAGUGUUAGCUGUUCAGGAUUUUUUUGAGUUGGUUAACUAUUGAUAGCUUCAAAGUCGCCAUGGCAGGGGUAUUUAUACCAUAGAAAUUGGUACAUGUUACAAAUUAGGGUUUCAUUUUUCACCAUCCAGAGAUCUGAUUUACUAACUCACUACUGAUUCUGAGGUAGGACCCCAGCUUAGGAAGGCACUUUCAGGCAAGACUGUUCUGCGGUAAUUAGGAAAUGGAGAGUGGCCCUGUCAGAUGCAAAGGAGAAUAUCAAAUUUGGAAAAAAGUACUGCCUAUUGCACAAGAGGUAAGAGUCACUGAGACAUCUUGCACCAGACCCAAGUGAGGGAUGGAAGGGGCCCUGAUGGUCAUCUUGGGACAGCUUCUUAGGGUCACCCAGGAGCCCAGGAGCCAGGUAUGCCACUCUGUGGUGGGACAGAAACCCCUGUAAAGAGCAAGCAGACACUCAGUCACCCAGGACCCUCCCCAACACUCCCAUUCCCUGCAAUCUAUCAGCACAUCCUAUCAAUCCCGUCUGGAGUAGAUAUCUGAUCACGCCUUCUCUCCCUUGUGACUGCCAUGACCCAAGUCCAGGUUCCUGCUACAUCCUUCCUAAAAGGCCUUCCCCUGCAAGCUUGCCUACCUCACAUCAACUCUCCCCACAUAGCUGCAAAAGUGGACGUCUGAGAAGAAGGGGGAGGAAGAGGAGAAGAAGGAAGAGAUGAAGAAGGCGAAGAUGAAGAAAAAGAAGAAGAGGAGGAAGAAGAAGAAGGAGGAAGAGGGGGAAAAGAGGAGGAGAUGAUGUUAUGUCAUCCCUUCACCCUUCCCCUGCACACACACACAC
ensembl:lncRNA novel transcript